AAGAAAGUAUGCAAGAACUGCUAACUCAUGCCUCCACGCUUAAACCCGUGGCUUUCUUA
rnacentral:tRNA from 3 species